AUACGUAGGGGGCAAGCGUUAUCCGGAUUUACUGGGUGUAAAGGGAGCGUAGACGGCAAAGCAAGUCUGAAGUGAAAGCCCCGGGCUCAACCCGGGAAUUGCUUUGGAAACUGUUUAGCUGGAGUGCAGGAGAGGUAAGCGGAAUUCCUAGUGUAGCGGUGAAAUGCGUAGAUAUUAGGAGGAACACCGGCGGCGAAGGCGGCUUACUGGACUGUAACUGACGUUGAGGCUCGAAAGCGUGGGGAGCAAACAGGAUUAGAUACCCUGGUAGUCCACGCCGUAAACGAUGAUUACUAGGUGUUGGUUGUCAUAGACAAUCGGUGCCGCAGCAAACGCAAUAAGUAAUCCACCUGGGGAGUACGUUCGCAAGAAUGAAACUCAAAUGAAUUGACGGG
rnacentral:rRNA from 1 species